UCCGUAGGGGGCGAGCGUUGUCCGGAAUUAUUGGGCGUAAAGAGCUCGUAGGCGGCCUGUCGCGUCGACCGUGAAAACCCGCAGCUCAACUGCGGGCUUGCGGUCGAUACGGGCAGGCUGGAGUUCGGUAGGGGAGACUGGAAUUCCUGGUGUAGCGGUGAAAUGCGCAGAUAUCAGGAGGAACACCCGUGGCGAAGGCGGCUCUCUGGGACGGUACUGACGCUGAGACGCGAAAGCGUGGGGAGCGAACAGG
rnacentral:rRNA from 1 species